rnacentral:rRNA from 1 species
GAUGAACGCUGACAGAAUGCUUAACACAUGCAAGUCGAUGGGGAAGUGGUGCUUGCACCAUGGCAACCAUGGCGGACGGGUGAGUAACGCGCAAGGGACUUACCUGCAGGACUGGGAUAACAGGGGGAAACUCCUGACAAGACCGGAUAAUGUCAUGGAGCUGCAUGGCUUUAUGAUGAAAGGAGACGCCUGCGGAGAGCCUUGCGUCCUAUUAGCUAGUUGGUGAGGUAAUGGCUCACCAAGGCGAAGAUAGGUAGCCGGCCUGAGAGGGUGGACGGCCACAAGGGGACUGAGAUACGGCCCUUACUCCUACGGGAGGCAGCAGUGGGGAAUAUUGGACAAUGGGGGCAACCCUGAUCCAGCAAUUCUGUGUGCACGAAGAAGGUUUUCGGAUUGUAAAGUGCUUUCAGCAGGGAAGAAGUAAGUGACGGUACCUGCAGAAGAAGCGACGGCUAAAUACGUG